AUCUGAAGUCUGGUGAGUGGCAAGAAGAGAAUAAGCCAGUGGAUUUAGCUCUCAGCUCAGUGGCCAAUCACUGCAGCGAUAUGAGUGAGGUGAGUGAGCUGUGACUUAGAUCAGCCCUCUCCUCCUGUAUCAAUACACAGAAGUUAUGCAUGUUGCACCUCCUUCCCUGACUGCCUUGCAGUUUUGUAAAGCUUUGGUUUUGUGGAGAACCCAAAGGCAGGCAUCAAUACUUGGUAGGCAUAAAGCUAUGGGAGUUGCUGUAGUCAUGGAGAGAAAUGGGAGAUGGCAGGAGAGACACUUUAACAGACCAGAGGAUUCAAGACCUAAUUGAUUAACUCGCUCCAAGGAAGCAUCAGUGGCUGAUGUGUGGAGGGGAAGACUGUGGGGGCAUACAGAAGAGGCCAAAGCUGCUUGGAUGGAAUUAUGUGAAAAGAUUGCAGUCCUCUGGCUGUUCCUUGAGCAACAGGAUCGAAUACCUUCUCUUGCAGCUUCCUUCUAGCUGGUACAGAUACCUUACAAUCCACAUACAUUCCCUUCAAAAUAAAUCCUACAGCUUUUAUUCCCCUGAAAGGAACACCGAGCAAUUUUCUGCAGAAUCCUCUGAAUUCAGCUGAAAGUCUCUCAAAAUCUUCAUGGUGCUGCUAGACCAAGCUCUGAAAUGUUUUCUCUUCACUUGGAAUUCUGCUCCUUGUCCAUUCUUGUAUUAAUGGUUCCUUUUCAUGGAAGCCCAAGAGGAGAGGCCAAAGGCUGAACUAAUAUGAAUUUUAGUUUGUUUUUCCAACCUAUAUUCAAUAGAAAAGUCUCACUAGUUCAGAAUCAAAAAAGAAUCCUAAUUCUUGACUGUUUGCCAUUGUGUAUUAUUCAGCUGGAUAAAGCUUGAAAACUGUUUCUAAUUCAAGUGAUAUCCUUAUAAGUGCUCUGUUCAACUAGAAACCCUAAAAGAAGUAUGUUUCUAUGAAUGAAGGUUUGGAAGAUUUUUAGUCUGCAUUUUUUUUUUUGCAAAUAUGUCACUUGCUUCUGAAGCUGCUUAUAUAUGCAAUGCAAAAGUUACUCUGGCAAUCACAGAAUUUAAUGAACAGAAGAAUAAACAGGUGCAUAAGAACUCUGAAACA
rnacentral:lncRNA from 1 species